GGGGGUGUAGCUCAGUGGUAGAGCACGUGCUUCAUGUGUACGAGGUCCCUGGCUCAUUUGACACCUCCA
rnacentral:tRNA from 1 species